CGAGCGGUAGCACAGAGAGCUUGCUCUCGGGUGACGAGCGGCGGACGGGUGAGUAAUGUCUGGGAAACUGCCUGAUGGAGGGGGAUAACUACUGGAAACGGUAGCUAAUACCGCAUAACGUCGCAAGACCAAAGUGGGGGACCUUCGGGCCUCAUGCCAUCAGAUGUGCCCAGAUGGGAUUAGCUAGUAGGUGGGGUAACGGCUCACCUAGGCGACGAUCCCUAGCUGGUCUGAGAGGAUGACCAGCCACACUGGAACUGAGACACGGUCCAGACUCCUACGGGAGGCAGCAGUGGGGAAUAUUGCACAAUGGGCGCAAGCCUGAUGCAGCCAUGCCGCGUGUGUGAAGAAGGCCUUCGGGUUGUAAAGCACUUUCAGCGGGGAGGAAGGCGUUGAGGUUAAUAACCUUGUCGAUUGACGUUACCCGCAGAAGAAGCACCGGCUAACUCCGUGCCAGCAGCCGCGGUAAUACGGAGGGUGCAAGCGUUAAUCGGAAUUACUGGGCGUAAAGCGCACGCAGGCGGUCUGUCAAGUCGGAUGUGAAAUCCCCGGGCUCAACCUGGGAACUGCAUUCGAAACUGGCAGGCUAGAGUCUUGUAGAGGGGGGUAGAAUUCCAGGUGUAGCGGUGAAAUGCGUAGAGAUCUGGAGGAAUACCGGUGGCGAAGGCGGCCCCCUGGACAAAGACUGACGCUCAGGUGCGAAAGCGUGGGGAGCAAACAGGAUUAGAUACCCUGGUAGUCCACGCCGUAAACGAUGUCGAUUUGGAGGUUGUGCCCUUGAGGCGUGGCUUCCGGAGCUAACGCGUUAAAUCGACCGCCUGGGGAGUACGGCCGCAAGGUUAAAACUCAAAUGAAUUGACGGGGGCCCGCACAAGCGGUGGAGCAUGUGGUUUAAUUCGAUGCAACGCGAAGAACCUUACCUGGUCUUGACAUCCACAGAACUUUCCAGAGAUGGAUUGGUGCCUUCGGGAACUGUGAGACAGGUGCUGCAUGGCUGUCGUCAGCUCGUGUUGUGAAAUGUUGGGUUAAGUCCCGCAACGAGCGCAACCCUUAUCCUUUGUUGCCAGCGGUUCGGCCGGGAACUCAAAGGAGACUGCCAGUGAUAAACUGGAGGAAGGUGGGGAUGACGUCAAGUCAUCAUGGCCCUUACGACCAGGGCUACACACGUGCUACAAUGGCAUAUACAAAGAGAAGCGACCUCGCGAGAGCAAGCGGACCUCAUAAAGUAUGUCGUAGUCCGGAUUGGAGUCUGCAACUCGACUCCAUGAAGUCGGAAUCGCUAGUAAUCGUAGAUCAGAAUGCUACGGUGAAUACGUUCCCGGGCCUUGUACACACCGCCCGUCACACCAUGGGAGUGGGUUGCAAAAGAAGUAGGUAGCUUAACCUUCGGGAGGGCGCUA
rnacentral:rRNA from 1 species